AAAAAGAAAUUCAAUAUCUGUUAUCGUUGGUUUUCUUGGCUUUGUGCCGUUAAACCUGGUAUUUCUAUUGAUACAGUU